UACGGGGGGUGCGAGCGUUGUCCGGAAUCACUGGGCGUAAAGGGCGCGUAGGUGGUCUGAUAAGGGUGUGGUGAAAGCCCGGGGCUCAACCCCGGGUCGGCCGUGCCGACUGUCAGACUAGAGUGCUGUAGGGGCAGGCGGAAUUCCGGGUGUAGCGGUGGAAUGCGUAGAGAUCCGGAGGAAGACCGGUGGCGAAGGCGGCCUGCUGGGCAGAUACUGACACUGAGGCGCGACAGCGUGGGGAGCAAACAGG
rnacentral:rRNA from 1 species